UUAAUGCAAGGUUGUAGAAAUGGCUCGAAAGUAUUGUGUACUCUUGAUUUUAAAAUCUUGUGUAGGUGAUGUAGGAGUGGAGAAAGUUUAGUGAGUCAGAUUAGUUUGUACUUCACACGGGUCGGAAAGAUAUAGGGAAUACAGGCUUUAGAAUUUUGAGGUUACGUAGCUCAGAGUCUCUCUACCUUGUGAAGCAGUGGACUGCUUCUGAGAAAGGAGAUGCAGCCAGGAGCAUAGAGAAUGUUUAAACUCAUGGUCAACAUACUUCUGUAAAGGGGCGAGGCAGUAAAUAUUGUUGCUUGGUAAGUUAUGAGGUCAGCUCUACCAUUAUAGUGUAAAAGCAGUUAUAGA